GUAGGCGGUUGNUCGCGUCUGCUGUGAAAGGCUGGGGCUUAACCCUGGUUUUGCAGUGGGUACGGGCUAACUAGAGUGCAGUAGGGGAGACUGGAAUUCCUGGUGUAGCGGUGGAAUGCGCAGAUAUCAGGAGGAACACCGAUGGCGAAGGCAGGUCUCUGGGCUGUAACUGACGCUGAGAAGCGAAAGCAUGGGGAGCGAACAGGAUUAGAUACCCUGGUAGUCCAUGCCGUAAACGUUGGGCACUAGCUGUGGGGGACAUUCCACGUUUUCCGCGCCGUAGCUAACGCAUUAAGUGCCCCGCCUGGGGAGUACGGCCGCAAGGCUAAAACUCGAAGAAAUUGACGGGGGCCCGCACAAGCGGCGGAGCAUGCGGAUUAAUUCGAUGCAACGCGAAGAACCUUACCAAGGCUUGACAUAUACUGGACUGCGUCAGAGAUGGCGUUUCCCUUCGGGGCUGGUAUACAGGUGGUGCAUGGUUGUCGUCAGCUCGUGUCGUGAGAUGUUGGGUUAAGUCCCGCAACGAGCGCAACCCUCGUUCUAUGUUGCCAGCACGUGAUGGUGGGGACUCAUAGGAGACUGCCGGGGUUAACUCGGAGGAAGGUGGGGAUGACGUCAAAUCAUCAUGCCCCUUAUGUCUUGGGCUUCACGCAUGCUACAAUGGCCGGUACAGAGGGUUGCGAUACUGUGAGGUGGAGCUAAUCCCUAAAAGCCGGUCUCAGUUCGGAUUGGGGUCUGCAAC
rnacentral:rRNA from 1 species